UCUAUGGCCAUACCAUCCUGAAUGCACCCAAUCCUGACUGAUCUUGGAAGCUAAGCUAGGUUGGGCUGGUUAGUACUAGGAUAGGAGGAAUGCCUAUAUUAAUAAGAAAUAAAGUAGAUUUCAGGA
rnacentral:rRNA from 1 species